AUUAGAAUAUAGAAAGCAAUCAAGCAAUAAUGUAGUCGAUUAAGAAAGUUUUCGUCUUACAUUUCAUAGGAUUUCUUCUUCUCGGUGGCGUACUGCCUGCCAAUGCUCAGGAGCGUCGCUAUAAGUUUGUGAUGCUCCAUACGCAAGGCUUUGCACAAACAAGACAAUCUUGACAAUAAAUGGACAAUUUCCGGGGCCAACUAUUCACGCAACUAAAGGAGAAACAGUCAUUGCUGAUGUCUAUAACUGAACAAACGAAAACUCAUUCACUGAUAUUGAAAAUGCCACGAUAUCCAUGGUCCGAUCUACUCACCACUUUGGAAAGUCAGGAUAAGAGGUUUCUGAGUAUUGGCUUAGGAGUGUGAGCAGGAACAAAAGCAAGCUGGAAUUGGACGAGGAAGGAACUUUAUUGUGGCAUGCUCACAGUGAAUGGUCACGUGCCACGGUGCAUGGGGCCUCAUUAUUUAUCCCAAGAAGAAAAAUGACUACAUUUUCCAAGCCUCAUGCAGAAGUGUCCAUCA